AAACGUAGGAGGCGAACGUUAUCCGGAAUUACUGGGCGUAAAGCGCGCGCAGGCGGCUUCGUAAGUUCGACGUGAAAGCUCCUGGCUUAACUGGGAGAGGCCGUUGAAUACUGCGAGGCUUGAGGUUAGGAGAGGGAAGUGGAAUUCCCGUGUCGUGGUGGAAUGCGUAGAUAUCGGGAGGAACUCCAGUGGCGAAGGCGGCUUCCUGGCCUACACCUGACGCUGAGGCGCGAAAGCGUGGGGAGCGAACAGGAUUAGAUACCCUAGUAGUCC
rnacentral:rRNA from 1 species